UACGGGGGGAGCAAACGUUGUUCGGAAUCACUGGGCGUAAAGGGCGUGUAGGCGGCUGGAUAAGUGGGAUGUUAAAUCCCCCGGCUCAACCGGGGACCUGCAUCUCAUACUGUUCAGCUCGAGCACAUCAGAGGAGACUGGAAUUCCCGGUGUAGCGGUGAAAUGCGCAGAUAUCAGGAGGAACACCGGUGGCGAAGGCGGGUCUCUGGGCCGAUACUGACGCUGAGGAGCGAAAGCGUGGGGAGCGAACAGG
rnacentral:rRNA from 1 species